rnacentral:rRNA from 1 species
CCUACGGGAGGCAGCAGUGAGGAAUAUUGGGCAAUGGGCGCGAGCCUGAACCAGCCAAGUAGCGUGAAGGAUGACUGCCCUCCGGGUUGUAAACUUCUUUUAUAAAGGAAUACAGUGAGGCAAGUAUGCAUUCUUGUAUGUACUUUAUGAAUAAGGAUCGGCUAACUUCGCGCCAGCAGCCGCGGUAAUACGGAGGAUCCGAGCGUUAUCCGGACUUAAUGGGUUUAAAGUGAGCGUAGAUGGGUUGUUAAGUCAGAUGUGAAAGUUUGCGGCUCAACCGUAAAAUUGCAAUUGAUACUGGAAGUCUUGAGUACAGAUGAGGAAGGCGGAAUUCGUGGUGUAGCGGUGAAAUGCUUAGAUAUCACGAAGAACUCCGGUGGCGAAGGCAGCUUACUAGUCUGCCACUGACAUUGAUGCUCGAAAGUGUGGGUAUCAAACAGGAUUAGAUACCCGUGUAGUC